GACGUCAUGGGGAGUGACGUCAUGAGUGGGGGGAAGAGCCUCCUUCCUUCCUUCCUUGCCCAUGGGGAUGCGGGGCUUGGGGGGGUGAUGUCAUGGGGGAGUGACGUCAUGGAGGGAAAAGAGCCUCCUUCUCUUUGGGGAUGUGAGGUUUGGGGGGGGUGACAUCAUGGGGAGUGACGUCAUGGAAGGGACGCCCCCUCCCCCAAGCCCGCUCCCCUCCAUGGGGGCAGAAGGAUUGGGGGUGACGUCAUGGGGAGUGACGUCACGGGGGGAUGACGUCAUGGGGUGAUGUAACGAGCAGGGGAACCCAACCCCCCCGGAUGGACCGAGGACCCCCCCAAAAUGGGGGGCGGUGCUUGGGGGUGACGUCAUGGGGGAGUGACGUCACAGGGGAGUGACGUCAUAGAUGACAGUGAGCCCCCUCCAAUGGGGAGAGCGACUGGGGGUGACGUCAUGGGUGGGAGGGUGACGUCAUGGAUGGGACACGCCCCCCCGUGGGGACACGGAGCUGGCUCGGGGACACGGCUGUCACCCGGGUGUCACCUGGAUGUCACACGAGGACACGGCUGUGACACGAGGACACGGCUGUCACCUGGGUGUGACAGGGAUGUCACCCGGGGCGUGACACGGGGACACGAGUGCCACACGGAGCUGGGACAGGGACACCGGUGUGACACGGCUGUCACCUGGGCGUGACAUGGACACGGAGCUGGGACAGUGACACAGAUGUCACCUGGAUGGUGGCACGGCCAUGGCACAGGGACACGGCUGUCACCUGGGCGUGACAUGGACACGGAGCUGGGACAGUGACACAGAUGUCACCCGGAUGUCACCUGAAAGCGACACAGGGACACGGAGCUGGCUCGGGGACACGGCUGUCACCUGGAAGUGACACGGGGGACACGGCUGUCACCUGGGUGUGACAUGGACACAGAGCUGGGACAGUGACACGGCUGUCACCUGGGUGUCACAACAAGGACACGGAGCUGGCUCGGGGACACGGCUGUCACCUGGAUGUGACACAGGGACACGGAGCUGGGACAGUGAGAUGUCACCUGGGUGUGACACAGAGCUGCCUCGGGGACACGGCUGUCACCUGGGUGUGACACGGACACGGAGCGGGGACACUGACACGGCUGUCACCUGUUUGUCACCAGGAUGUCACACGAGGACACGGCUGGGACACAGAUGUCACCUGGGUGUCACCUGGAUGUCACACAAGGACACGGAGCUGGCUCGGGGGACACGGCUGUCACCUGGGUGCCACACAAGGACACAGAGCCAGGACAGUGACACGGCUGUCACCUGUUUGUCACCUGGACGUGACACGAGGACACGGUGUCACACAGAGCUGUCACCUGGAGGUGACACAGUGUGACACAGACGGUGACACGGCCACGGCACAGCGACAGACACGGAGGUGACACGCGGAGCUGGCACGGUGACACCGAUGUCACCGGGGUGUGACACAGGGACACAGAGCUGGCUUGGGGACAGAGAUGUCACCUGGGUGUCACACGAGGACACGGAGGUGACACAGGCCCUGCGUGGUGGCACAGAUGUGACACAGGUGUCACACGGAGCUGGCACGGUGACACAGAGGUGACGCGAGGACACGGAGGGUGACACAGGUGUCACACGGAGCUGGCACGGUGACACAGAGGUGACGCGAGGACACGGAGGUGACACAGGUGUCACACGGAGCUGGCACGGUGACACCGAUGUCACCGGGGUGUGACACAGGGACACAGAGCUGGCACAGGGACAGCGAUGUCACCUGGCUGUGACACCGAUGUCACCGGGGUGUGACACGGAUGUGACACCGAUGUCACCUGGCUGUCACCCGUGUGUCCCCGCUGUCCCCCGGUGCCACCCCCCAAUAAAGUCGCAGCGCUGGUGA